UAGGGAAUAUUGCACAAUGGGCGAAAGCCUGAUGCAGCAACGCCGCGUGCGCGAUGAAGGCCUUCGGGUCGUAAAGCGCUUUUCGGGGAGAUGAGGAAGGACAGUAUCCCCGGAAUAAGACUCGGCUAACUACGUGCCAGCAGCCGCGGUAAAACGUAGGAGUCUAGCGUUAUCCGAAUUUACUGGGCGUAAAGCGCGUGUAGGCGGUUCGGUAAGUUGGAUGUGAAAGCUCCUGGCUCAACUGGGAGAGGUCGUUCAAUACUGUCGGACUUGAGGGUGGUAGAGGGAGGUGGAAUUCCCGGUGUAGUGGUGAAAUGCGUAGAUAUCGGGAGGAACACCAGUGGCGAAAGCGGCCUCCUGGACCAUACCUGACGCUCAGACGCGAAAGCUAGGGGAGCGAACGGGAUUAGAUACCCUGGUAGUCCACGCCCUAAACGAUGUCAACUGGUUGUCGGGGAAGCAAUUCCUUGGUAACGAGCUAACGCGUGAAGUUGACCG
rnacentral:rRNA from 1 species